rnacentral:rRNA from 1 species
CUUGGUCAUUUAGAGGAAGUAAAAGUCGUAACAAGGUUUCCGUAGGUGAACCUGCGGAAGGAUCAUUAUUGAAUAAACCUGAUGAGUUGUUGCUGGUUCUCUAGGGAGCAUGUGCACGCCUGUCAUCUUUAUAUAUAUCCACCUGUGCAUCUUUUGUAGACCUGGAUACAUUUCUGAAUGCGAGUUCAGGUUUUUGGGGAUUGACUUUAUGUCUUUCCUUAYACGUUCAGGUCUAUGUUGCUUCAUUUACCCAAUUGUAUGUUAUGGAAUGUCACUAAAUGGCCCUUGUGCCUAUAAACCUAUACAACUUUCAGCAACGGAUCUCUUGGCUCUCGCAUCGAUGAAGAACGCAGCGAAAUGCGAUAAGUAAUGUGAAUUGCAGAAUUCAGUGAAUCAUCGAAUUUUUGAACGCACCUUGCGCUCCUUGGUAUUCCGAGGAGCAUGCCUGUUUGAGUGUCAUUAAUAUAUAUAUCAACCUUUAUUUGUUGGAUGUGGGGGGUCUUCUUUUGCUGGUCUUUCUAAGGUCAGCUCCCCUGAAAUGUAUUAGCUGAACAAUUGUAAACCGUUCAUUGGUGUGAUAACUAUCAAUGCUAUUGACGGGAAGCAGUUCAGCUUCUAAAUGUCCAUUGAUUUGGACAAUUUGUCAUUAAUGUGACCUCAAAUCAGGUAGGACUACCCGCUGAACUUAAGCAUAUCAAUAAGCGGAGG